GAAAUGUGCCCGAGACCAGGGGCUAUUUUGAUAAAAUAGCCACAGCAAUCAAAACCGCUCAUUUCUA
rnacentral:tRNA from 1 species